rnacentral:rRNA from 1 species
AAAGAUGAAUCAAAGAAGGUAAUAAUCCUGUAGUCGAAAAUGUUGUCUCUCUUGAGUGGAUCCUGAGUACGACGGAGCACGUGAAAUUCCGUCGGAAUCUGGGAGGACCAUCUCCUAAGGCUAAAUACUCUCUAGUGACCGAUAGUGAACCAGUACCGUGAGGGAAAGGUGAAAAGCACCCCGGAAGGGGAGUGAAAUAGAACCUGAAACCGUGUGCUUACAAGUAGUCAGAGCCCGUUAAUGGGUGAUGGCGUGCCUUUUGUAGAAUGAACCGGCGAGUUACGAUUUGAUGCAAGGUUAAGCAGUAAAUGUGGAGCCGUAGCGAAAGCGAGUCUGAAUAGGGCGUUUAGUAUUUGGUCGUAGACCCGAAACCAGGUGAUCUACCCUUGGUCAGGUUGAAGUUCAGGUAACACUGAAUGGAGGACCGAACCGACUUACGUUGAAAAGUGAGCGGAUGAACUGAGGGUAGCGGAGAAAUUCCAAUCGAACCUGGAGAUAGCUGGUUCUCUCCGAAAUAGCUUUAGGGCUAGCCUCAAGUGAUGAUUAUUGGAGGUAGAGCACUGUUUGGACGAGGGGCCCCUCUCGGGUUACCGAAUUCAGACAAACUCCGAAUGCCAAUUAAUUUAACUUGGGAGUCAGAACAUGGGUGAUAAGGUCCGUGUUCGAAAGGGAAACAGCCCAGACCACCAGCUAAGGUCCCAAAAUAUAUGUUAAGUGGAAAAGGAUGUGGCGUUGCCCAGACAACUAGGAUGUUGGCUUAGAAGCAGCCAUCAUUUAAAGAGUGCGUAAUAGCUCACUAGUCGAGUGACACUGCGCCGAAAAUGUACCGGGGCUAAACAUAUUACCGAAGCUGUGGAUUGUCCUUUGGACAAUGGUAGGAGAGCGUUCUAAGGGCGUUGAAGCAUGAUCGUAAGGACAUGUGGAGCGCUUAGAAGUGAGAAUGCCGGUGUGAGUAGCGAAAGACGGGUGAGAAUCCCGUCCACCGAUUGACUAAGGUUUCCAGAGGAAGGCUCGUCCGCUCUGGGUUAGUCGGGUCCUAAGCUGAGGCCGACAGGCGUAGGCGAUGGAUAACAGGUUGAUAUUCCUGUACCACCUAUAAUCGUUUUAAUCGAUGGGGGGACGCAGUAGGAUAGGCGAAGCGUGCGAUUGGAUUGCACGUCUAAGCAGUAAGGCUGAGUAUUAGGCAAAUCCGGUACUCGUUAAGGCUGAGCUGUGAUGGGGAGAAGACAUUGUGUCUUCGAGUCGUUGAUUUCACACUGCCGAGAAAAGCCUCUAGAUAGAAAAUAGGUGCCCGUACCGCAAACCGACACAGGUAGUCAAGAUGAGAAUUCUAAGGUGAGCGAGCGAACUCUCGUUAAGGAACUCGGCAAAAUGACCCCGUAACUUCGGGAGAAGGGGUGCUCUUUAGGGUUAACGCCCAGAAGAGCCGCAGUGAAUAGGCCCAAGCGACUGUUUAUCAAAAACACAGGUCUCUGCUAAACCGUAAGGUGAUGUAUAGGGGCUGACGCCUGCCCGGUGCUGGAAGGUUAAGAGGAGUGGUUAGCUUCUGCGAAGCUACGAAUCGAAGCCCCAGUAAACGGCGGCCGUAACUAUAACGGUCCUAAGGUAGCGAAAUUCCUUGUCGGGUAAGUUCCGACCCGCACGAAAGGCGUAACGAUUUGGGCACUGUCUCAACGAGAGACUCGGUGAAAUCAUAGUACCUGUGAAGAUGCAGGUUACCCGCGACAGGACGGAAAGACCCCGUGGAGCUUUACUGUAGCCUGAUAUUGAAAUUCGGCACAGCUUGUACAGGAUAGGUAGGAGCCUUUGAAACGUGAGCGCUAGCUUACGUGGAGGCGCUGGUGGGAUACUACCCUAGCUGUGUUGGCUUUCUAACCCGCACCACUUAUCGUGGUGGGAGACAGUGUCAGGCGGGCAGUUUGACUGGGGCGGUCGCCUCCUAAAAGGUAACGGAGGCGCUCAAAGGUUCCCUCAGAAUGGUUGGAAAUCAUUCAUAGAGUGUAAAGGCAUAAGGGAGCUUGACUGCGAGACCUACAAGUCGAGCAGGGUCGAAAGACGGACUUAGUGAUCCGGUGGUUCCGCAUGGAAGGGCCAUCGCUCAACGGAUAAAAGCUACCCCGGGGAUAACAGGCUUAUCUCCCCCAAGAGUUCACAUCGACGGGGAGGUUUGGCACCUCGAUGUCGGCUCAUCGCAUCCUGGGGCUGUAGUCGGUCCCAAGGGUUGGGCUGUUCGCCCAUUAAAGCGGUACGCGAGCUGGGUUCAGAACGUCGUGAGACAGUUCGGUCCCUAUCCGUCGUGGGCGUAGGAAAUUUGAGAGGAGCUGUCCUUAGUACGAGAGGACCGGGAUGGACAUACCUCUGGUGUACCAGUUGUCGU